UCGGGUUUAGAUAAUACGCUGCAAGACAAUUUUGUUAGUUUGAUUUUUUAUUGUCUAAAAAAUAUUAUAUUAAAUUAUUCUGAAUAUGAAUUUACCUACAUUAUAGAUAUCUUGAUCCAUAUGAACUUCGGUCCGACGAUCAAUGAUUCGUACGUAUUGGUCGACCUUAAAAUCAUCUUUAAAUGCUUUCCUAGCCUUCUAUCUUGUUGAAAUCAACAUAUAUUUAAGAUACAACAUCUGUGGUCGUUUGUUCAUAUCGACCCUACGGAGAACAAUUUAAAGUGGUUCCAUACAUUUUAUUAUUUCUGCUGUGGUCUCCCAAAAUCUAGAUGGACUUUUCUAUCUUCUUUCCAUCGCUCAAUCUUGAAUAUCUAGAAUCAGACCACCCUUGUGAGGUGACCAUUGCAUUCAAACCAUGUCGUUUUUGCUGUAAUGACUUUAAUGCAAUAAAAUUGGUAGCAAACCGAGUAAUUCCAGGCAAGGAUUGACAUACCGAAUCGUACCGCUCGGUACGGGCGGUAUGUACUGGUCCGAUAGGUGACCGGUACGCGGACCGCCCGCUACCGGGCGGUACACCCAAAAAAACCCGUAUCGGACGAUACGGGGUAAUAUCGGGCGGUAACGGUCGAAAUUUCGACUGUUACUGCCCGGUACCACUCGGUAACGGUCGAAAUCGACUGUUACCACACUGUAGCAGUGCUACAGUGCUCCAACGGUCAAAUUGACCGUUGGAGCCCUUUCUCCUCCUAUUUAAACCAAUCUUCUCUCCCCUAUUUCAUUAUACUCUCUUAAACUCUCUCUCAAACUUUUCUUUUUUCUCCUAAACUCUAUAAAAUAACGAUUUGUGAAUUCAAUUGAGGCUAAUUUGGGAAGAUUAAGAGGAAGAACUUUCUAAUCAAGAGGUAUGUAUUCGUUUUCUUUAAUUAUAGAGUAAUUAAGAUAUUUAAGAUUAUGGUUAGUGUUUUUCAUGCAUAGUAAAUAUUGAAUAAUAUUUAUCAUAGUAAAAUAAGUUUAAUUAAA
rnacentral:lncRNA from 1 species